GGACUACUGGGGUUUCUAAUCCCGUUCGCUCCCCUGGCUUUCGCACAUGAGCGUCAGUUACGAGCCAGGACGCUGCCUUCGCCUUUGGUGUUCUUCCAGAUCUCUACGCAUUUCACCGCUCCACCUGGAAUUCCGCGUCCCUCUCUCGUCCUCAAGUCGUACAGUUUUCCAAGGCCUGUCAGAGUUAAGCCCUCACCUGUCACUCGAAACUUAUACGACCGCCUGCGUGCGCUUUACGCCCAAUAAAUCCGGACAACGCUUGCCCCCUACGUAUUACCGCGGCUGCUGGCAC
rnacentral:rRNA from 1 species